GACGUAGGGCGCGAGCGUUGUUCGGAUUUACUGGGCGUAAAGGGCGCGUAGGCGGCCAGCACAAGUCAGUUGUGAAAUCUCCGAGCUUAACUCGGAAAAGGUCAACUGAUACUGUGCGGCUAGAGUGCGGAAGGGGGCAACUGGAAUUCUUGGUGUAGCGGUGAAAAUGCGUAGAUAUCAAGAGGAACACCUGCGGCGAA
rnacentral:rRNA from 1 species